AUGGCAGCCGCGUCAGGAAUCGCCGGUACGUUCUCCGUCCGCCCCACGGCGCCGGCGGGCCGGCUAUGCUCGUGCGCCGCCGCGGCCGGCGAGGCGAGGUCCCGCGGCGCCGACGGGGGCGGGGGCGGGGCCGGGAAGUGGUGGGCGCCGCUCCUGGGGUGGUCGGGCCAGGCCGACUACAUCGACGCCCAGCCGGCGCCGGCGCUGGAGGAGGACCGCGACCGGGCUGCGGGGAUGAGGCGGUUCGGGGUGCUGACGGAGGAGAAGGCGCGGCAGCUGCGGCUGCGGAUGAUGGAGACGGAGAGCUUCCACGACGUCAUGUACCACUCCGCCAUCGCGUCCCGCCUCGCCUCCGCCCCGCCCGACACCGCCCGCCGCACCAAGCCGUAG
rnacentral:rRNA from 1 species